GCUUAUUUUGGGCAGAUGCGACUUGUCGCACAAAAGUCGCACUUGAUAAAUUCAGCACCAAUGCAUUUUCCAAUGCAUUUCCAUCUAAAAUAGACUUGCAUGCAUCAUGUUCUAAAAAUCCUCUACAGCAAAAGUCGCAGAAAAGUCGCACAUAUUUAGACUGCGACUUUCUGUGCGACAAAUUUAGACAGGAAAAAACAGUCUAAAUCCUUUGAUAAAUCUCCCCCUUUGUGUCCAAAUACAAAAUUUAAAAAAAGAAACAGAGGUUUCUUUCUAAAAUAAUACAACACUGUAUUCACUCACAUAUAUGUGGCAACACAUUAAUGUAAUGUUAUACAGUUACUAGCCUCUGGCACUGCACCCGACGCUCUAAACAAACAUUGGGUGCAGCAGGGAUAUCAUGGGAGUGCCAAGAGGCGGGACCCCCGCGAUCAGGCAUCUUAAGAUGUCUAGGGGCGGAGUACCCCUUUAAGAACUAUGCAGACAGCUCUGACCUAUGGAAGCAUGGACUCCACAAGACCUCCAAUUAAGGUGUCCUGAGGUAUCUGACACCAAGACAUUAACAGCAGAUCCAUUAAAUCCUGUGAAGUUGCUUUUCUAGCAUAUUUAACAGAUGCUCGAUUGAGAUCAAAUUGAGCUCUGGGGGAUUUGGAGACCAAGUCAACACUUUGAACUUUGUGUCAUGUUCCACAAACCAUUCUUGAACAUUUUGUGGAGUUUGGCUCUGUAGUAUCCCAGUAUGAUUGUACCAGCUACCAUCCUAAGUAAGUGGUUGGGUGCCUGAAAGUCUAAAAGUUUGCUUUAUGCCUAAAAUGUGUAUAAGGUACUGGAAAGUUGUGCAAAUGUGUUUAUGUGCAUUGCACUUACUUUAAUGCAUAAAAUGAGGUCUUGUGAAGUGUAAAAAGAAUUAAGGUUCUCGCAUAAAUGGUACAGUUGAAUGAUGCUUUGCUCACCUGGAUCUCUUAGCCAGUGCCUAGUCCAACCUUUCCUGGGAAAAUUAAAAGACCUAAACCUGAUAUUCAGUAGUUCUGGCCUGGCUUUUGCCAAAGCCACAUGUUUCUUUCUCUCAACCAUGGGCGUAGCUAUAGAGAUAGCAGUCGCACCGGGGCCCUGGUGCCUAAGGGGGCCCCAAAGCACAUCUUCCCCAUAAUAGACCAAUAUUAUAAUUGGCAUAUGGGGCCCUGUUGCAGAUUUUGCAUCUGGGCCAGAAGCUACAAGCUACACCUCUGCUCUAGGCGCUGCUAUUGGGGACAUGUAAAGUUUGUCUUAGGUUUGCCACUGCUAUGCAUACCUACACAUAGGCCAUAUGUAAUCUACCCAAGUCUACCCCUGUGCUUAUCCUUGUUCCUGUCUGUGCUGUGAAGAUUUGUUAGCAUUCUCCUCUUGUAAAAACAAAAUACUGCAGAACAGCUUCUCUGAAUAUUACUAAUCUCUUGUGUCAUGUCACAGAUUACCGUUAAAGAGUAACUAAAGUGGACGUAUUGCAUCUUGCACCUUGGCGAACCAACCCGUGAGAAUUUUCAUCCAGCAAUUUGAAUCUUUUCAGACUGAGAACUUGAGAACCUUAAAGGGGUUAUCCACCAUAAGUUUAACUCAUGGAUGGCAUUGUGUCUCAGGGGUCUUUUGAUCACUGGAAGCAAUUUCGGACACCUGUGAUAAUUAGAUUGCCAGAUGAGCCCAAUUUAAGGAAAAACUACUAAAGAGCCGGAGGAUCCACAUGACGUAUGAAGAGGCUAAUGCUGCUUUAAGGGAGGAUACUCUAUCACACAAACACUGCAGGAAGCUGUACAUAUUGCAA